GCUGCCCCGGAGAUAGACCCCGAUGGGGGUGAAAGGGUGGCCCCACCUCUGGGCAGGGAUUUAUUUUUGGCCUAGCAAGUGCUGGGCUUUAGGUCGCUGGUAUUUUAUCCCCUGGAGAGCAGCGGCCCCUUCGCUGUAUGAGCGAGGAGGCCGCCGCCGCCGCCGGCUGGCGGAGCACCCUGACCGCUCCAGCUCGGCCGUGGUGUAACAGGAACUUCUGGCCUUGUGUGGUCGCCAUGGGAGUGGCGUGUUUCAGCCUGGCCCUCACGUGGCUGCACAUGGUUCAGUAGCACGCUUAUAACUUGCUUGUGUUGGGUUCUAGCAGAGGUCAGAGCAAUAUUGCAUGAGGUGGUCCCUUGAAAUGGUUCAUUUGAAGGUGUAGAUAAUUCCUAAGGAGAUGGGAAAUCUACCUCGAUUGUGGCAAUUCUGUGUGCCGCUUUCAUGGGGUCUUGUCUGUCUCUUUUUGGUACGUGCUCUUAGUUUCACAGUGACACACAGGCCUUGUCUUUGCUAGGGUUUUUUCCCCUAGAAUGUCCCAUCAUUGGACGCUGGACAUAGUAAAGGUGGGUGCACUGGUAUAGCAGCUCAGAAUUCUGGGGGCCUCCUGGACUGUGACUCCUGGAGAGACAAGCCUGGAAUCUCAGUGAAAAGUGCGGUGUGAAAGCAUGACUGAAACUGGCCAGAAAUAAAAUGACCUUAAAGAUGGUGAUGAUGAGAAGCAGCCUUGAAUCUUCUGCCGAGCAACUUCUGUCACCUGGGGAAGGUCCACCGGAAAAUAAUGUCAGGCACACAGCAACAGAGUAAAAAUUCUGGGCUCUCUCCAUUGAUGUUGCAAUGGAAAUGCCAUAAGGGGUCGCCCAGGGAAUAUCCUCUGUGCAGGUGCCCCUGUGCUGGUGCAGAGCCAGCACCAUCAGCUUUGUGCUGCCUCCACAGCAACCCUGGGCACAAGGGAUGUUCCAAGGCAGAAGUGAAUUAUGGACAGAUUAGAGGAAGGAAGAGGCAUGGAUGGGGCCUGCACCCCAGCAAUUCUGCACCUGGCGAUCUACCACCAUAGAAGAAGAGUUUGAAAAAGAACCAUGCUUUGUGCAUCAAUUGAUGGGAUCUGCCAGCAUGACUUGUAGACACACUGGAGAAAUCCCUUCUGUCACUUCAGUGCCCCUGCAUUGCUUCCAGCAGUGGCUUCACUGGGCCCCUUGCCAGCUAGCAUAGAAGCUUCUCUAACCUCAGUGUUUUCUCAAAUUGGAAAGAUGUUUCUGUGGCUGUCUUUGCCAGUCAUGUGCCAUCCCCUAUAGUGAACACAGAAUCCUAUUGUGCUCUGCACCCAAUUCAGUAGUAAACCACCCGGCUUGCUCCGUCCAGCAGUCAUAAAGCAAGCAACACAAUGACCUAGGUACGGUACUUCCACAAGCCCCCAUUGUCAGAGCCAUCUGAGCCCCUCACAACGAUGUAUCCUCACUGCAUCCCAGGGAGGUGGGGAAGUGCUAUGGACUCUGAUGACUGCUUACCAGCUGGAAUAUGUUCUGGACUAAAGAAUACGCAGAUGGUGCAAGAAUAUAGAUAUGGAUGAAAGACUCUUUAGGAUGUAACGCUGUUAGUGGUGAGUGGCAUCAUUCGAGCCUAGGUCAAGGAGAACACCUGUGUCUGGAUGGAAGCCAGCAGUCAUUUAAUAGGCCUAUUUUGGGAAAGCUUCUUCCCCUUCGACCUUAAGUGAUAUGGUUAACGUUGCCUCCUCAGAAGGUUACUCAGUCAUCUUAAUACUGCUCUUAUGUUGUCUUUUUGUUUUGUUUUUCUCCUUCCAGAUUUUGAUUAGUUUUUCCUUCAACAUGGGAGAAGAUGUCUGAUUGUAGAGGACUCUUUAAUUUGGCAGAUAGGAGCAUAACAAGGUCCAAUGGCUGGAAGUUGAAGCUGGUCAAAUUCAAACUGGAAAUGAUGCACAUAUUUUUAAGUAAGGGUAAUUAGCUAUUGGAACAACUUACCAAGGGAUGUGAUGGAGACCCCAUCACUUGAAGUCUUUAAAUCAAGAUUUAAGGGACAGAUUCUUAGCUGGUGUAAAUUGUCAUAGCUCUGACGUCAAUGGAGCUAAGACAGUUUGCACCAGCUAAGAAUCUGGACCUUGACAUCUUUUUAAAAUACGUGCUCUUGGCCAACUGCAAGUUAUUUGGGUCAGUGCCAGAAUUACUGGGUGAAACUCUCCGGCCUGUGUUAGACAGGAAGUCAGAUUAGAUGAUUACAAUGGUCCCUUCUGACCUUAGAAUCUGUGGAUUGUUGCUAGGAUAAACUCUAAAAAGUGAUGCCGUACCUCGAUAGAUUAGUAUUGCCAGACAUCUUCAGAGAGGAGCUAGCAGCAGUCAUUGCCUUCAUCUUUUAAAUUGUCUGCACCCACCUCAAUUGUUUCUUACUCCUGUAAUGCUGGUAACUGGUUUUUCAAGGCCUGUGUUUAUUCCUAUGGAAUGUGCAUUUUGCAGACUUGGUUCAUUCUUGGAGCAUCCUCUAGUAUGUAAAGCCGUACCAAUUAUUUUGUAAUAUGAAUCCUAAAUAAAUCUGCAUUACUGCAUUCAGCUAA